rnacentral:lncRNA from 1 species
GGGAUAGAGCAGUGUUAGGAUAACUGACUUUUUGUUGUUCUCUGGGUGCAUUCUUCCCGGCUCCCCCUCUCUCUCCCCCUCACCCUCUCNNNNNNNNNNNNNNNNCUCUCUCUCUCUCUCUCUUUUAAAAAAUCAGCCAUUUGGGGUUUUAAGCCAUAAACGAUUUUUCUUGUUGCAGGGGAUUGCAGAGGCAAAGCUAGGCUAGGUCUUGGAGGCUGGUGUAAGGCGGUGCGUGAAGGCAGGACGCUGAUGGGAGAGACUGGUCGAAGAAAAGCCGAAAUGGAUUCUCCGUGCCUUGGAUGGAGGAAGAGGGGCGAAGCGCGAGCUUCUUCAACUCGUUCUGUCCGGUGAGGAGUGAUCCAGCUUGGGCUGACGAGGGGCUCCGGAGCCUUCACGUUCAGUGCUUUUUACCUGCCAAUCAAACUGCUACAAGACAACACCCUGAUCUGGCAUGGUCGCCGCGGGUCCAAGCCUGUAGUCCCAAAUCGGAAAAUCUCUGCAGCUGGUUACACGCAAAAGAGAAGCCAGGCAACAGACAUAUUACAGAAGAAAGCUCUCGACUCCGAGAUCGAACCUAGAAAUUGUACUCUCCUCAAGAUCCGCUUGAGAGAAUCUGACUGAUGGCUUUGGUCUGAGAGUUCAGACAUCUCUUGUGAUACUAAGAAAGAUUCCUUUUCCAUUUGCUGGAUCCUCCUGUUUUGUCAUCCCUGAGUCCUGUAAGAAGCUCAUCAGGAGGUCCCCUGCGCUGGAAGGACCAUGUGAGUUCAUCCCAGACGAUGGGUGGCACCAUGGUUU